rnacentral:rRNA from 1 species
AAUGGCUGCAGUAAUAUAACUGUACAAAGGUAGCAUAAUCAUUAGUUUUUUAAUUAAAAGCUUGUAUGAAAGGUUGGACGAAGUAAAAUCUGUCUCUUUUUAAUAAAAUUAGAAUUUAAUUUUUAAGUAAAAAAGCUUAAAUUUUUUUAAAAGACGAGAAGACCCUAUAGAGUUUAAUAAUUUAUUUUAAAUAAUUAAUUUAGAUUUAUUUAUUUUAUUUAUUAUUAAAUUAUUUUAUUGGGGUAAUAAAAAGAUUAAUAUAAUUCUUUUUUUUUAUUUACAUUAAUGUAUGAAUACAAUGAUCCAUUUUUUAUGAUUAAAAGAUUAAAUUACCUUAGGGAUAACAGCGUAAUUUUUUUAAAGAGUUCAUAUCGAUAAAAAAGUUUGCGACCUCGAUGUUGGAUUAAAGAUUAAUUUAGGUGUAGAAGUUUAAAUUUUUGGUCUGUUCGACCAUUAAAUCUUUACAUGAUCUGAGUUCAAACCGGUGUAAGCCAGGUCGGUUUCUA